rnacentral:misc_RNA from 1 species
CCGAGUUUACAACUCCCAAACCCCUGUGAACAUACCUAUAUGUUGCCUCGGCGGAUCAGCCCGCGCCCCGUGAAACGGGACGGCCCCGCCGCAGGAUCCACAAACUCUGUUUUUAUUGUAACUUCUGAGUAACAAAACAAAUAAAUCA